GGGUCGGAAACUCGAAAUCGUAAGCCCUCACUAAGACAAUACUGAGUCUACAAGUAAUGUCACCCGAUCCAAGAAACCCUUGAUGACUCGGGGACUAUCGUCAAUCGCCAUCUCCAUCGACUUACCAAAACCCGAGGCCGUAAGGCCACAUGUGGGCAGCCUCGAUCUCGUAAGACCUACAUAAGGAAAAAACAACAUCUGUAAGACCUCAAGCAAGGCAUGAACAAUACUUGUACCAAGUAUCCAAAAUUGUAAAACCUCAAAGGCAUGAAAAACUUGUAAGACCUUACUAAAGGCAUAAACCCGACCUCAAUGUUUUGGCUAUAUAUCGAACUUGUAAGACCCCUAAAAAGGCAUACCGUCAAUAUAGAUGCCGAAACUACUUCACUCGGGACUUAAAGGCUCCGGCCAAACACAAAUGACUCCUAUCACAAGGCUAUACCAGCUAAACUAACACGACUCGGGGAUGCCCGACCGUCGCUAUAAAUCACAGGCCUUCAAUUACUCUGAAUGUACUUGGGAAAAAAUUGGUUAAACAGGCUACCCUCGACAUAGGCAAAAGAGCUUCGACCACAUCAACUCCUAAACAACUGGCUUCGAGAUACUCAACCUCUGAGCCAAACCUUUCGAGGUGCUCGAUCAUUGCCAUAUAACGACUCACAAUCGAGGUUUUUUAUUAAACCGUCGAAGAGUCAGGCAAACAUUAUUUCAAAAAGUACAUAAUGAGGGAAAAUCAAAGCCUAUAUAAAAGGUCGCAUCGACCCAAGGCAUAAGAGCAUUAUCACCAGACCACACAUAUAAAAGGUUGUACCGAACCAACGCACAAGAGCCUAGGGCCAGCUUGCAAUUCAAAGACUUGAGGGUCAAAUGAGCUCGAGUCGUAACCCGAUUCGGAGACUGAACCCAAAAAAUUUAACUAAAUAUGCCUAAGGCCAAAAGUGUAAGAGCCAAUAUCGCCAACCUAUAUACACUAAAGGGUCGCAUCGACCAAAAGCGUAAGAGCCAUUGUUGCCAGCCCACUUACACUAAAAGGUCACAUCGACCAAAAGCGUAAGAGCCAUUGUCGCUAGCCUAAAAUUCGACAACUUGAGGGUUGAAUAAAGCUCGAGUCGAUGCCUGACUUGGGGAUUAAGCCCAAAAUAGUUGGCCUAAAUAUGCCUAAGAGCAAAAGCGCGUAAGAUCCUAAGCUCAAAGAGCCUUAAGGCUAUACCAUGAAUCUAAGGAUUCCCCUCAGCUCAAAAACCAGUUCAUCUGGCUAAAAUCAAGGCAAAAAAGAAAUGAGGGAGAAAUAAAACCGCAAGGUUUCUUCUUUAUACACACAUGCGGAAAAAUACAAGCUUAAUUUACAAACAUGCUUUGAGAAUGCUAUAUGGCCCAUCGGCCUCACCUUCGCUUUCCUCGGCGUCGGACAGAAGCAACCGAGCACCACGCUCGUCCGCCCUCGCCUGCGCCAACUCUUCUGAGAGGUUAAAUCCCCUAGCGCGGAUCUCCUCGAGGGUUUUCCUCCGAGACUUACACCGAGCGUAUUCUUUGCUCCUAUAUUCGUGGUAAUGAUCUUUCUCAGCUUAGCUUGAGCAUCGGCAACAUCAUUCAAAUAGACCGUCACUUCCUGAUCAACCUUAGUUCAGCUCAUGACAGCUUUAGCUCGGGCAUCCACAAUCUCGGCCCUUAUCUUCGAGAGCUCGGUCUCAUCUUCGCAAUCGUAUCUUUUUAAACCAAGCUAUUAUCACGAACUAAGCGAAGUUGGACCUCAAAAGCAGAAACCUUAGCCAGAGCACCCUCCUCCAUCGAAGCCUGAGCAUCUGCCUGAACCUUUAACUCAUCAUACUUGCGCUUGGCUCGGCCAACCUGGUCUCGAAGGUGCUCCAAGCGCUCUACCUUUUUCUGCAAUAGAAAUAAACAAAACAUUAGCUUCAGGAGCUAGAAGUAGGAACGCCUGCUCGCUCGGAACAAAAAAUACCUGCUCCUUCAAGUAGCUCUCAUAAUUCAAACUCCGACUCGCCUCAUACCAUAAGUAUGCCAAUUCGACUUCCCUUUUAUCACAAAGGAGCCUCAGGGAUUUCUCCUCAUCCAGAGCUUUCCACAGCCUGGCCUCACAGUGAAGCAGCUCGGACUUAAACUUGUCGAAGGCCUGUAAAAGAAACCUCAGUAAGGAAGGGAAGGCGCGAAACUCGAAAGGCCUGUGCCAAAAACUCACCACAGAGUGAAGGUGCUGUGCUUCCUCGAAGGUUGAGUGCACAUCUACUAACCUAGUUCCCUCAGCUCUGAAAAAUUUGACCCCAACCUAGGCACGAUCGCUUGGUGCAUAUGAUCCCGGGUUUUGAGUAUUCCUAGAAGUACCUCCAAUGGAAAAAGAAGGCAACAACGGAGGAUAAACCGCCUCUCCAAAACUAGAAAUCACGGGCGCGACAGGCUCAAUCAAUACUUCCACUCUAGGCCCCCGGCCUAGGUUCGCCUUGCCCCGAGCGCCAUCGCCCUGCAAUAGUAUCUCUUGCUUAUUGUUAACAUUCUUUAGCCCAGAAGCUAGCGAUCCUUCCUACCCCCCAAGGGGACACGACCUCGCCUCAGAAGGCUCCCCGAUUCCUAUAAUAAUAGGGUUAACACGCUGAAAGAGAAAGUGUUUUUUCAACUAAAAGAAGGGAACAGAUCGCACGACACAUACCGGGGUAUUUUGCCUUCCACCUGUCCUUAGAUAAAGCUUGCCACUUACGCUCGUUGUAAGUCGAGUGGGUCGGCAACUUUCGAACCCAAUCCGGCAGAUCGGGAACCUUGCCCGACAUCCACAAAAUCUCUGUAGAAAAAGAAAAGAAGGCACACUUACGGAACACCUUCACCAUAAUUGAAGAACUGUGAAGGCACGAGUGUAGCACUUACGUGUAUAAUUCCAUUCCUCAGGGAAUGACAUAAACUCCACGGGGAUAAUAUCUGCAGUUCGUACUCAGACGAAUCGACUCAUCCACUCCCGACCCCCGUCUUCUUCAUUAUCGACAAUGAAAGGCAUGGCCGACUGGCAUCGUAAGGUUUGUAGACCUCAAUGAUGAAAGGGCCGGUGUAGUCUGAUAAGAUGGCUAAGCGUAAAUUCAAGCCCUGCCUUCUCCACAAAGAACCUCACCAUCAACACUAUCCACCAAAAUGACGGGUGAAUCUGGGCCAAGGUAACCUGAUACUUUCGACAGAAGUCAAGCACAAUCCUAUCAAGGGGGCCCAGCAUGAAGGGAUACGUGAACACAUUCAGAAACCCCUCGGCACAGUCUGUAAUACUCUCAUCCGGGGAAGGUACCUACAGUACUACCUUUUCUCCCCAUCCAUAGUCUUUCCUCACCGACCCAAGGUGUUCCUCUCCUAUCAAAGAAGUAAACUUCAAGGUAUGCUCCCGUUGAUCCUGAGCAUUGGUGCACUUUUUUGACGAAAAUUCCCCUUUCAAAGCAAAAUGCCCCGAGCCAACAAGGUGAGAACCGGAGGCGGAACCCUCCCCUCCUUACCAAACGGGUCCUGAUGUAGCAAUCAUGACUAUAGCAAAAUCGGAGAACUGGAGCGGGAAUUUAGGCCAGAGCAUCAAUAACUGAAAUAAUGAAAAGCCUAACGCAGGAAAAAAAGGUAAUUUCUCAGAAUGGUGGAAUCUCCAAAAGGGCGGAAACAGCCCUAUAUAUGGAAAAAACGGCAACGAUCUGCCUGCCCUAGAGGCCUAUUAAAAUGUUGGCCAAAACCACUUUGGGAAGAUAUGCCGGCGAAGUCGCCUCGGUCACUUUACAACCGUGUCACCUAUUUGACAAGCGUCGUGUGAUGUUUCGGGGUCGGAAACCCCAGCACCAAACAAGUGCCGAGGUGGUACCCGACCUCGAGGACCUCCAUCAAAAGAAGAAAGGCUCCAAGAAGCCAUUAAUAUCACUAUCAGCCCCGAGGUGGUACCCGACCUCGAGGACCUCCAUAAAAAAAAGUUAGGCUCCAGGAAGCCUUUGGCAUCAUCACCAGUCCCGAGAUAGUACUCGAUCUCGAGGACCCCUACCAAAAAAAGGAAAGGCUCAAAGAAGCCAUUAAUAUCACUACAAGUCCCCAGAUAGUACUCGAUCUCGGGGACCUCCAUCAAAAAGAAGUUAGGCUCUAGGAAGCCUCUAGCAUCAUCGCCAGACCCGAGAUGGUACCCGAUCUCGGGGAUCUCUCCAAGGGGCCAUCGAUAUCAUUACAAGACUCGAGAUGGUACCCGGUUUCGAAGGCUCCUCUCAAGGAGAAAAAUAAACACUUAAAACUCUGUUCGUAUGGGCUUGGCCUCGGGAUACCAUCUAAACCCGGGCAGUCCCUCAUCUGGGAUCUACCUAUAACACUUUAAGCUAUAUACACUAAGUUCAAGACAAGUUUCCAGACGACCCGAGUUAACCCUCACUCGGGGACUGCUCUCAAAAGCCUAAAGGCAGUCUCCAUUCUCGAGCUUCCGAGCGACUCCCCCCUUGAAUAUUAUCGCCGGGUCUAAAGGCUAAAUCUCGAUUUGGGGGUCCGAAGCCCUACUCUCAUUCAACUCGAAAUCAGGGUCCUGACGACCCGAGUAUAUCAGUCCAACCCGGGCUCAAUAUUUGCACCAACCGAUGGGGUCAUUCACUUAGAUUCUACAUAAGCAUAGAUAAAGGUAAAAUUGUAUGCAUCAAAGACAAAUUAAAGAAACAUUUUUCAUUCAUAAACAUUCGAUUACAAAAACCAACGAGGGAUCCUUACAUAUUAUUACAAAAGCCCACAAGGGGUCCUUACACAGAAACAAAGAAGCAAAAAGGUACACAUAUGGUAAAGGCCUAGAGCCUAGCCUAUUCUCGAAGAUGCAUCCUCGACGGCAGUAUCUUCGAGCGCCAUCUCCCCGGGAGUCUCAUCUUGGUCCUCCCGAAUGAUAUCUCUAAGGGCGAAGAUGAAGAAGAGGAAAGUGGUGGAGAAGAGCAAAGUGAUGCAGAAGAAGUAGAAAGGAAUGAAGAAGUGGCUGGGUGAAAAUUCUGGCUAGUAUGGAUUUCGCCAGUACUACUAUUGUAAAGCCACUUCUUGGGACGUUGCCCCGGUGCGGGAUGCAACAGUUAGUAGAUAGUACCACCUUACUCCACGGAAAGUAAAAGGAGUGAGGCGUUGCACUGGGUAAUCGGGGGAGGUGAGCAGUGGUGUAUAGUCCGAACUCCCUCAUGAGCACCGGUAUAAAGUCCAAAUAUUUCCCGAGUCGGGAGAAAUCAGUCCCAUAUCUCCUCGCCUCGAACCAACGACGACAGCAGUAAUAACAACAACAACAAGAAGAAGUUGGUAUAGUAUCACUCGAUAGGGAAGGGCCCCAGGGAAAAACCAUGGCAUAACUGAUGAGAACGCCACCAGACAGCCUCGAGGCCACGGGCCUCAGACAUGGGAAAUGAAAACGGAUGAGGAUGGAAAGAAGAAAUGGGAGAAAGGUUGAUUGAAGAACACUUGAACAAAAAGUUGGUUCCAGGAGGCCCCCAUUUAUAGGAGGGGCGGAAACAUAACCAAUGAUGCCAUUAUUGUCAUUGAAAGACGUAACAGCAGGCACAUUUAAUGCAUCAUUGGGAACUGAAUGACGGCGACAUUACCGCUUUGAAGAAGAAGAAACGGUAAUGUUUUGAAUGAUUCUGGAAAGUUGAAAUGAUGGGACAUCUCGGUUGUCACGGAGGCUUGCGCCAUUAGUAUGAUGUCAUCGCAGGAAAUUCAGAAAGAUGGUUAUCAAGGUCAUUUCUUAUCAUUCUACUCUAAUAAACGCGGGGACUAUAUGUAUACGGUAAAAUAUGAGGGUCCAAUUUUCCAUCGUUAUAACGCCUCGAAGGAUUGAAAUCAGAGUCGAGUUUAUCCCUUGAGGGCCAUCGACACUCGACCUCGGGAGAGUAUGAGGCCGACGGUUACGGGAAGAAAAUGGGGAGUUCCCAAGGCAUGAAACUAGAGUCGACAAAAUCUGUCAGGCUAGUCUGAGCCCGUAUCGUGACAUUAGUUAGAUGUCCCAUCUCCAUAUCUUUGUAAUAAAUGUACUUGUACUAUGUUGGGAUUCCCCCUCUUAUAUAAAGGGGAUCCUUGUUAUUUUGUAAACAUCUGUUGCUCCAUACUAAAUAUACAAGAACAUUCUCCCUGCUCUUUAACACAUUCUCUCAGUUUUGUUAUCUUAUUUAUCGCCCAUAUUUUGUUGGGUUCUACUUAUUGUUCAUCAUUUAUUACUUAUUAUUGGCCAUAAAGAGCUGCCUUUGAUCUAUUUAUAACUGUUAUUCACCAUCGACCACCUUCGAUAGCUCCCAGCCGAGCUUCAGACUUGACCUUGAGGCCCUCGUAUAGGCAAGCUUGAGGCCCCGAGUGACAACGAUUCGGUUUGAUUAACCCCUCGUCCUAAGUUCUUAUUUCGUUUCUUAGUCUUUCACAUAGCAUCAACUGCCUUAUAACUAGCAUAAAAAUAUAUCACGUAUUUUUAGAACCACUAAAUUAAAUUUAAUUGUUAUUACCAUUUUCACGGUAAACAAUAAGCAUUCAUCUGUCACCAUCAGAGAAAGAAGAGUACACCUGUUUUCUGAAAGAAUACGAAGAUAUCUUUGCAUGGUCUUAUGAUGAUAUGACCGAUUUGAGCACAUCUAUUGUGGCUCAUAAACUACCUACCAAUCCGAUAUGUCUGCAUGUAAAGCAGAAACUCAGAAAGUUCAAGCCGGAUAUGAGUCUAAAAAUUAAAGAGGAAGUCACCAAGCAGAUCAAAAUUAAGGUUCUCAGAGUGGUAGAAUACCCUAGUUGGUUGGAUAACAUCGUGCCAGUUCUGAAGAAGGAUGGGAAGGUCAGAGUAUGUGUUGACUAUCGGGAUUUAAACAAAGCAAGUCCCAAAGAUGAUUUUCCAUUGUCCAAUAUACACAUACUGAUCGNCAACUGUNNNNNNNNNNNNNUGCUUCGCGGGAUACCAUCAGAUCUGGAUGGAUGAAGAAGAUGCAGAGAAAAUAACCUUUAUCACUCCCUAGGGGAUGCAUUGUUAUAAAAUGAUAUUAACCUGAAGAAUGCUGGAGCCACUUAUAUGAGAUCUAUGACGACUAUUUUCUAUGACAUGAUUCACAAAGAAAUAGAGGUGUGCGUGGGUGAUGUCAUCAUCAAAUCCAGAAGAAGCACAUAUCACAUAGCAGACUUAAGGAAAUUGUUUAAUCGGCUUCAAAGGUACAAUCUAAAACUGAAUCCUACAAAGUGUGCCUUUAGAGUCCCUGCUGGAAAAUUGCUAGGUUUCAUCGUCAGUCGCUGAGGGAUUGAACUAGACUCUUGAAUGAUCAAAUCUAUCCAAGAUUUGCCACUGCUAAAGCAUAAGAAAGGUGUGAUGAGCUUUUUGCGGCAUCUCAAUUACAUCUGUCGCUUCAUAGCACAAUCGACCGUGAUCUAUGAGCCAAUUUUCAAAAUGCUGAAGAAAUAUGCUGCAACAAGUUGGACUGAAGAAUAUCAAAAAGCUUUUGACAGAAUCAAGGAGUAUUUGUCCACACUACCAGUCUUGGUCCCGCCGGAACCUGGUAGACCUCUGCUACUCUAUCUGUCCAUACUAGAUGGAGCUUUCAGUUGUGUCUUGGGACAAUACGACGAGACAGGAAGAAAAGAACAUGCCAUAUAUUAUCUGAGUAAGAAGUUCACACCCUAUGAAGCACGUUAUUCUUUGCUGGAACGCACCUCCUGCGCCCUGAAGUGGAUAACGCAGAAAUUGAGGCACUACUUUUGUGCCUACACUACAUAUCUCAUAUCAAGGAUGGAUCCUCUAAAAUACAUUUUCCAGAAAUCAAUACUUACCAGGAAACUAGCAAAAUGGAAGAUAUUGUUGAGUAAAUUUGAUAUUGUCUAUAUGACUCAGAAGGCGUUCAAAGGACAGACAUUAGUGGAUCAUCAUGCGGAAAAUCCUGUAGGAGGAGAAUAAGAACAACUGAAAACAUAUUUUCCCAAUGAAGAAGUAUCAUUUGUAGGAGAAGAUAUCACCGAAACCUACGACGGUUGGAGAAUGUUCUUUGAUGGUGCUGCAAAUUUCAAAGGAGUGGGUAUUGGAGUUGUUUUGGUGUCAAAGAUAGGUUAACAUUAUCUGGUAUCUACAAAACUCAGGUUUCCGUGCACCAACAAUAUGGCAGAAUACGAGGCUUGCAUCUUGGGGCUUAAUUUGGUCAUUGACAUGAAUAUCCAAGAAUUAUUGGUAAUGGUGAUUCAGACCUUUUCAAAAGGUUCUAGGAGAGUAAGCUAAAAAGAAUACCAAAAUAUUACCUUAUUUAUAUCAUGUGCAAGAGUUGAUGAAGAGGUUCAUAAAGAUAGAGUUCAAACAUGUUCCGAGAAUUUAGAAUGAGUUCGCCGAUGCAUUGGCUACUUUAUCUUCCUUGAUACAACACCUGGACAAGAAUUUCAUCGACCCUAUUGUCACACCUCCUUUUUACCACCCCCCAGAAGAGGGUGUAAGGGAGUUUUUUCCAAUUUAAGUGACAAUCGAAACGAGAUUAUUUAUAUUAAAUCAGAGUCGCCACUUGGGAUAAUUUAUGGUGUCCCAAGUCAUCAUUUUAAAUCCCGAAUCGAGGAAAGAUUGACUCUGUUUUACAUUUUGCGAACACAGAAAUCUAGGUAAGGAAUUCUGUUAACCUGGAAGAAGGUGUUAGGCAUUCUCGGGUUCCGUGGUUUUAGCAUGGUCGCUCAACUAUUAUUAUUGGCCUAACUAUCUGAUUUUUACAUGUUUUAAAAUGUUUUUUGAACUGAUUUUGCUGGAACUUCCAUCUCCGAGGCCAAUUUGAACUGCCCAUUUUUCUAGGAAUAGAAUCAAAGCAACCCAUUCUGACAUGUUUCCUUUCUACAAUGCCCACUUCAUCUUUACCUUCCAAAGUUCGCAGUUUUGGAGUUAAAUCCGUUAAUACAAACAAGAAGCUCAAUAAUUUAUGCUAAGUCCAAAAAAUUCUCAAUCUCUCUUCUCAAGGCCAUCUUAAACAAGCUUUCCAUCACCUUAACAUCCUAACUCGCAAAGGCAUUCACUUAGAAAGUAAAACUCUAGCUUCUCUCAUUCAACAUUGUGCCAAUUCAAAGUCAUAUAGAGAAGGAGAAUGGAUCUAUUUCCAUCUCAAAACCACUGGGUGGAAGCACCCCACUACUUUUCUUGCCAAUCAUUUGAUUAACAUGUAUGACAAAUGUGGUGAUCAUAUUGAAACACGUAAAGUGUUUGAUAAAAUGACUACGAGAAAUUUGUAUUACUGGAAUAAUAUGCUUUCUAGGUAUGCUAAGUCAGGCAUGGUAAAGGCUGCUAACAGACUGUUUGACAAAAUACCAUCGAAGAAUAAAAAGUGAUUAUGAAAAGAAGUGUCUUCAAGUCUAAAUGCACUAUAAUCACGCCAAACACCCUCAGAAGAAACUUGAAAGUACAACAUCAAAGCAAGAGCAAAAUUUAUAAUGUUUACAUCAAGCAAAUUUAUUAACAGGAACACUAAGGGAACAUUUAGAAAUCAUAGUAAGAAACAGACCUUCACGGGUGGAAAACAACCUUCAAUGUAUUAACAAAGAGAAAUGUAAACCAGACUUUAUACAAUAGCAAUGGCCGCUCAGUUAGGAAAACUGAAAUUCAACAACAACAUCGGAAUCGGAAACGUGAAUAGGACCUCGGCCGGAAACCUUCUAACUCGAACGGAUUUUUGGAACUAGAACUUGACUAUAGGAGCAUCCUUUCAACUUCAAUUGAGGAGCUCGUAUUUACUGAUUUUCUGUGACAGUUUUGAGGACUGUUCGGUACUUUUUCGCUGCUGUAUUUUGGAGGUGAAGAGGAGGUGUGGUAGCCGGACAUGGAGAAGGGAGAUUGGUUUUUUUUUUUUGCGGCUGGUGGUCUUGUUUUUGAAGAAAAGAGUCGCUGGUCUUGUUCUCCUUAUUUGUUAAUGAUUUUGGAAAUACAGUGGGUCAUGAAAAUGGAAAACAAGGAUCCCUUUACUAUAUUUUAACUUGGGGAAGAUAAACUCAUUUUUGGGAGUGUUUCAAUUUUGAAAAUUGGGUAGGCAGAGAUUUAUGCGGUUGCCUUCUCCAAGGGUAGUCAUUCUUUUUGGUUUCUUGGUGUGUGUCUUGAUAUUAGGAUUUUAUGGAGUUGAUUGAAAAGGGAGAAGCCAUUUUUGUUUUGGAGUAUUUUACAUUCUUGAGAUUGGCCAUGGCUGCUAUCUCUUAGGGUAGGGAUCUAGGGCCUUGUUUGUUUUAUAGGUUUUUUUAGGUUAGGGGUAUGGGCC
rnacentral:lncRNA from 1 species